UUCAAUUAGGUCCUCAUGGGGAAGUUGA
rnacentral:piRNA from 1 species